AUGCCUGCUACAGCAAAAAAAGGAUCUUUCUCAUUCCUCAACACGGCGGAGGCAUCAUUCCCUUCUCAAAUCCUCGGCCGCUUAUAUCAUCGUCGUCUCCUCGUCGUGCCACUACAGCCACCGCCACGGAUUCUAUUCUCUUGGCUUCGCUUCACGUCUUCGUUCACCAUCUCGCUUCCAUCUCAAAAUAUCUUCAAACUAACUGAUUCACAAGUUCUACCUUGGGAUAACAAGAACGAAAAAGAGUUAAGAGCUUCAAAGGUUACCGAUCGGAGACGCUCCGAUGGCGACUCAAUAAUGUCGGUAAUGAAAAACUCCGGUAAUCAUUCACGAUUUCUAUUUCGUUCUUCUUCUACCUCUUUUCAUAUUCAUUUCUCUGCAAAUCUAUGA